rnacentral:rRNA from 1 species
AUUGAACGCUGGCGGCAGGCCUAACACAUGCAAGUCGAACGAGUGGGGGAAGGGUGAGUAAUGUUUGGGAAACUGCCCGAUGGAGGGGGAUAACUCCUGGAAACGGUAGCUAAUACCGCAUACUAUCGGAUGUGCCCAGAUGGGAUUAGCGAGUAGGUGGGGUAAAGGCCCACCUAGGGGACGAUCCCUAGCUGGUCUGAGAGGAUGACCAGCCACACUGGAACUGAGACACGGUCCAGACUCCUACGGGAGGCAGCAGUGGGGAAUAUUGCACAAUGGGCGCAAGCCUGAUGCAGCCAUGCCGCGUGUAUGAAGAAGGCCUUCGGGUUGUAAAGUACUUUCAGCGGGGAGGCGUUACCCGCAGAAGAAGCACCGGCUAACUCCGUGCCAGCCGCCGCGGUAAUAC